rnacentral:rRNA from 1 species
CAAUAGCGUAUAUUAAAGUUGUUGCAGUUAAAAGCUCGUAGUUGGAUUUCGGAAUGGGUCAGUUGGUCCGCCUCACGGUGUGUUACUGACUGGUCUGUUCUUCUUCGCAAAGACUGUGUAUUCUCUUCAUUGAGUGUGCUCAGGAUUUACGACGUUUACUUUGAAAAAUUAGAGUGUUCAAAGCAGGCCUACCGCUUGAAUACAUGAGCAUGGAAUAAUGGAAUAGGACUUUGGUCUUAUUUUGUUGGUUUCUAAGACCGAAGUAAUGAUUAAGAGGGACAGUUGGGGGGCAUUAGUAUUUCGUUGUCAGAGGUGAAAUUCUUGGAUUUACGAAAGACUAACAACUGCGAAAGCAUUUGCCAAGAAUGUUUUCAUUAAUCAAGAACGAAAGUUAGAGGAUCGAAGACGAUCAGAU